GACGAACGCUGGCGGCGUGCUUAACACAUGCAAGUCGAACGGAAAGGCCCUGCUUUUGUGGGGUGCUCGAGUGGCGAACGGGUGAGUAACACGUGAGUAACCUGCCCUUGACUUUGGGAUAACUUCAGGAAACUGGGGCUAAUACCGGAUAGGAGCUCCUGCUGCAUGGUGGUGGUUGGAAAGAUUCGGCGGUUGGGGAUGGACUCGCGGCUUAUCAGCUUGUUGGUGGGGUAGUGGCUUACCAAGGCUUUGACGGGUAGCCGGCCUGAGAGGGUGACCGGCCACAUUGGGACUGAGAUACGGCCCAGACUCCUACGGGAGGCAGCAGUGGGGAAUAUUGCACAAUGGGCGGAAGCCUGAUGCAGCAACGCCGCGUGCGGGAUGACGGCCUUCGGGUUGUAAACCGCUUUCGCCUGUGACGAAGCGUGAGUGACGGUAAUGGGUAAAGAAGCACCGGCUAACUACGUG
rnacentral:rRNA from 1 species